CUUUGGGUGUGUUUUUGAGAUUGGCCCUGUUUUUAGGGCAGAAAACUCCUUCACACAUAGGCAUUUGUGUGAAUUUACUGGCCUUGAUGUUGAAAUGGAGAUUAAGAAGCACUAUUGUGAGGUUGGAUUGGAUACUUUUUCAUUUAACUGAAUUUUCAGUUUAGCUUAACGAACUAAACGUUUAUGUGCAGGUAAUGGACAUUGUGGACAAGUUGUUCGUUACAAUGUUCGACUCAUUGAAUGCGAGUUGCAAGAAAGAACUUGAAGCUAUUGGAAGACAAUACCCCUUUGAACCUUUAAAGUACUUGAGAAAGACCUUGUGGCUUACUUUUCAAGAAGAUGUUCAAAUGCUCAAGGGCUGAUUUUGUUGGUUGUUUUGAUAUUCGCGAAAAUGGAGGAUCUCGUGGCUUUGUUUGAGCCCAUUGCAUUGUCUCCGUCGGAGUCUUCGAUAAUAUUGCUACUCCUGGUUUUCUCAUGUUUGCUUUAAGCUGGUUUGGUUUUGUUGUCUCUGUUUUUUCUCUCUUUUGACUGUUCUCCUUUCGGCUCUA